AGUUUUCAUCUACUUAUAGGCGAGGUGACUAUAACCAUCGAUGAUGUGGUGUCCUUAUUACAUUUUCCGAUUACAGGUGUCUUCCAUCCAUACCUUUGAUGCUAUAGAUGUAGAGGAAGUUGUUGACUUGUUAGUUGAGUCACUUGAAGUCACUACACAAGAAGAAAAAGAUGAGACUGACCAAUGUAGAGGGGCAUAUGUUUGCCUAACCUAGUUGCGAGGCAUUUAUCGUAGCAAAUGUGACCUAAGAUAGUGGACCAUAGCAGCUCGAGCAUAUUUAUUACAUCUAGUACGUUGCACACUCUUUGCUAGCGAGAGUGCUACACAUAUCAGUGUGGCAUACUUGGAUACAUUACGUGACCUCAGCCAAUUUGGAGGCUAUUCAUGGGGAGUGGUUGCACUGGUCUAUAUGUAUGACAAUCUAAAUGUUGCGUCAAAGCAUACGACAAAACACCUUGCAGGAUAUAUCACUCUGUUACAAGUAAUUAUAAUUAUUUUUACCUCCAGUUAUAUGUUUUGAACUUUAUAUGUUGUGAUGAUAAUUAGAAUUUUUAUUUGAAUUUUUUAUAUGUGCAAUCUUGGAUCCACGAGCAUUCCCUACAACUGCGUCCAUUAUUGCUAAUGAGGAUUACCAUGAGAGGAAACCACAGGCUUGUUGCAGGAAUUCUAGGAAGGCAUUACCAGUGAUGACGUAUCAAAAACACUUGGAUAGAUUGAUGUCAAAUAUUGUGUGUUGGAUACCUUAUGGUGACCGCUAUGCAUUUAGAGAAUUUGAGCUGAUUUCAUUAUUUUCUGGACAUCUGAGAUGGGGUUCAACUAUUGUCAGACACCAACCAUGGAGGGUCGUGUAGUAAUUUGGUUAUGUUUAAACCAUUCCUCCACUACCUAUUGCUCCAUCCUUGUCCAUAAAGGCAAUUAACGAUAAAUGGCUUAAGGUUUUAGAAUACCUUGCACCGGUUGGACAGAUUUGUAGUUCUCUUGGUUAGUGUGCAGCAAACUACAUGGAGUGGCGGUUCUAUAGGAUAUCUUAUCCAUUUAUGAGUGUGUCACAACUUAGUGAUCCUUCUAGACAUCCACUCGUGGUGCAUGAUGAUACAUUUAUUUUACCAGAUCCACCUAUGUUGCCCAUUCAGUUAGAAAUUAUGCCACAACCAUAUGCACAUGCGACUGUCGAUGCAGACAUGCCUCAUCAUGCAGUGGCCACUUGCCAAAGGAUAGCAAAAAGUUUCGAAAACAUGAUCAACAUGAUGAUGGUCACUGUUGGAAUUGAUGCAUACACUCAGACUGACCAUUGUCUAUGAUUAGCUAGGAGGGAUACACAAGACAAAGAUGAUGGAGGACGAUGAUGAAGACAUUUGUGAUUGGCUGAGUACUAUAGGAUAUUUUUGUAUGCAAUAUGACUGAACAAUGUUUAACAAUUUUCUUAUUUGAUUGGCUAUGUAUAUUAUAACUAUGGUUUUCAA